AUUUAGUCAAAGGUGGUAUAAAAUAUGAAUUUGAUGUACAGGGAAAGUUCUGUUCUAAAGUGUAUAGUAGUUUAAAAGCUCAGAACAUCUGAUAACUAAUUUUAAGUGGACAAAAAGUUACUGUUAAAGUAUCUUUCAGUAUGAGAACCAGUGCCUGGGCAGCAGCAUUUGAUGGAGCAGUUUCUAAAGAGCCCAGCAGGCAGUGGGACCAUGUGGCCUGGAGAAGACGCUGCUCGUUGGCCUUAGUGCUCACUCCGGAAUGCAGCUGCAUGUCCUUCCUCAGCUUGCCUCUGAGCAGCCAUUGUCAGUCAGUGCAUCGGGAGAAAAGGUGGAACCCCUUUGCCAUUCCCCUGACUGGGGAGAGAACCCCACCCCAGUCUCCUCACCAUGACCCCUGAGAUUCCCUCGGGUUCAGAUUGUGCCUUAGUGCCCUUGAGUGUCUCCCUUUUCCUGGGCUGUCCCUCUCUGCUCUGCUGGGAGGUCCUAGAUCAGUCUCUAUUCCAAGCUCCUCCAUCCCUGCGUCAUCUGGGGUUAGAUCCUUAUGGCCCCUCCCACCUGCAGCUCCAGCAUUUCUGUCCUGACAGGUUCCAGGCGGAAGAGACAAAUGAAGCUACAUCUUUAGAGCGCCUGACGUAGAAUUGGGAAUACUUAGUCCACAUCAGAGAAUGGGAAGAGUGGCCUGGAGAGUGCUGAAGAUCUCAACUGCACAGGUGUGGGAUCAGACUGACUGGGUUUGUAAGUCCCGGCUCUCCCGCUGUCAGCGAUGCGGGUCAGGCUGGUAGUUAGCUUCCAUGGCCCGGGCUCCCACAUCUGCCUGGGUCUGAGGACUGAAUAAACCCCGUAUGGAGUUCAGCAUGA